UACGUAGGGGGCUAGCGUUGUCCGGAUUUAUUGGGCGUAAAGAGCGUGUAGGCGGCCAGGUAGGUCUGCUGUGAAAUCUAUGGGCUCAACUCAUAGUCUGCAUCGGAAACUGCCGGGCUUGAGUGUGGGAGAGGUGAGUGGAAUUCCUGGUGUAGCGGUGAAAUGCGUAGAUAUCAGGAGGAACACCUGUGGCGAAAGCGGCUCACUGGACCAUAACUGACGCUGAUGCACGAAAGCUAGGGGAGCAAACAGG
rnacentral:rRNA from 1 species